UACUAGAGUAGCACUCGCAUAUCAAUAAGCGGAGGAAAAGAAACUAACAAGGAUUCCCCUAGUAACGGCGAGUGAAGCGGGAAGAGCUCAAAUUUGAAGUCUUAAAGGGUUUCCCUUUACGAAUUGUAGUUUAAAGAAGUGUUUUCUGUUGAGGUUUUGGUAAAAGUUCUUUGGAAUAGGACAUCAUAGAGGGUGAGAAUCCCGUAUUUGACCUUUACUUUCAACUUUGUGAUACACUUUCAAAGAGUCGGAUUGUUUGGGAAUGCAGUCCAAAAUGGGUGGUAAAUUUCAUCUAAACUAAAUAUUGGCGAGAGACCGAUAGCGAACAAGUACCGUGAGGGAAAGAUGAAAAGAACUUUGAAAAGAGAGUUAAACAGUACGUGAAAUUGUCAAAAGGGAAGCGUUUGACACCAGUGUUGUUUUUCUGAAAAUCAAUUAAAGAACUGUUUAUGCUAAGCUGUUUAGACUUUAUCAGCUAUCUGCUUAGUUUUGAGCUUUUCUUUAAUGCACUUUUCAGUUAACAAGUCAACAUCAAUUUCUUUUGCUGUAAAAAAGCUUGAGGAAGGUGGCUUGAGAUUCGUCUUAAGUGUUUAUAGCCUCUUGCCUAUGCAGUCGGAGAGAUUGAGGUCUGCAGCGUAGAUCCUUCGGGGCUAAAUGCAUUUGUGCUAAGUUAUAGCAUUUUCAUAGACAACUUGUUGACUAUGAUUUGUCUUGUAGCUUACUCGCUUAUGUUAUUUUACCUACGCUUAGGAUGUUGAACUACUGAGACAUAG
rnacentral:rRNA from 1 species